UCAGGGCUGUGGGUUGUCUUGGCUGUAUUUAUAGGCAAUGUGCUGAUUUUAGUUAUUGGACCUGCUGUGUUAGCAUGGGAAGUUACUGGGGGGUUGUGGAAAAUUACAGCCGAUGGGUGUAAGAACAAAGCACAGGAGCUGGUGGUUUGGCAACAGUAUCUUGUUAUAGUCGCGCGAAGCUUUCCUAACACGAAAGGCAUGUAGUUACAAGGACCUAAGAUAAGAUAUGCAUGCUUUCUUACUAACCUAUCAUGAGCUCAGCCUUUGUAAUAUGUAUGAGCUAAUUAGUUGGUAUACCAAUCAGUAUAAUCCACGAUAGUAGUUGUAAUGUAUGUAACAGUAUAAAAAGAUUGUGUAGAGAACAAUAAAGUGGACACUUUGCUUGCAUCAAGUUGCGCCCCCGUCUCUUCAUCGCGGCAAAUGGUGCCCCCCGACGUGAUCUUUGGUGAAGACUCCGCCGGAGGCUGAUAAUCACCUAUCUGGUGGCGUGCUGCGAGUCCCGCAGAACUGGGAACGCUGCUACAAGGAGCAGGGAAAAGCCGGCUACAGAAGUCAUCACCCCCGUCUGGAACGAGAGAGAGAGGUCCUCGCUGGAUCCCGGCAAAGAACGUGAGACCCUUCCGAGAAACAUUGCAACGGCAGUCCUCUGAUAACGCUCCAGAACCUGCGUUCGAUGAGGAGAACGUUGCUCCCGAAUGAAUUCCGUCUCAGAAACAGAUAAGCGAGAGCUUCAAUGUCCAGACUGCGAAGUGUGCAAUUUCUGGCUGACACUUUGGGGCUCCUUCCCUCCACAGGGGGAAUGGGAGAACAUCUCAAAUCGCGAAAAUUGCUCUAAUAUGAGUCCGGAGAUUCUUCCUGUUAACGGGACUGGAGUGGUCUAUUUUGGUGAUAGCUGGACUAGGUAUUUGAUUCGAGAUGGUCACAAAGAGACAUUAGAUUCACUGAUUCAUUAUCAAAACGUGUCAGGUAACUCUGGUCAUUGGAACAUUUCAAUGAAUACAGGGGCUAGAGAUGUGGCCGAUAUCACUGGACAGGUAAGGUUGCCCAAAGGCUAUUUCUUGAUUUGUGGAGAUAGAGCAUGGCCCGGAAUUCCUUUUAAACCUGUGGGAGGACCUUGUUAUAUUGGGAGACUUACGCUGUUCGCACCUCAUAUGAGGGACAUGCUUAAUCGUUCCCUGAGCAAUAGUACCAGAUCAAAAAGGUCAUUGCGACAAUUACAACCAGAUUGCGAUGAUCGCGUCAAUUUAGGGUCUUUAGGAUCUACUAUAGCUCUGUCCCUAUUUUUGCCUGGUGGAAUGGCCGCAAGCAAUUGGAAUAAAAUAAAACAAUUGGCAUGCUGGGCUGUCAAAGAAUUUAACACGACCUCUGACAUUUUGUCAGGAUUAGCUCAAGAUGUAGAUAGCUUACGACAUGUAGUCUUACAGAAUCGUGCCGCCAUAGAUUUCCUUUUACUAGCCCACGGACAUGGAUGUCAAGAAUUUGAAGGAAUGUGUUGCAUGAAUCUAUCUGAUCACUCUGUGAGCAUUCAUAAACAGAUUGCAGAACUACGAGAAAGGAUUCACAAUGUGCAGGAAGGAAUGGAUGGACUCGAUGGGUGGCUAGCUUCUUGGGGAAUUACAGGGUGGAUAAAAGAUUUACUUAAACAGGGAAUUUUGAUCCUUUUAGUAAUUUGUGUAUUAUUACUAACGAUUCCAUGUAUUUUGCAGUGCUUACAAAAGUCGAUAACCGCUUCAGUAAAUAAGAUUUUUCUUGUACAAGCACAAGACCUUCUGAAAACUCCCAGUACAGAAAUGUUGGUGAAGCAAGACGUCCUCGAACUGGUUGGGCGCCGACCUUGGGAAGAAGCAAAUGUUUGAAAACAAAAAGGGGGAGAUGUGGGUUGUCUUGGCUGUAUUUAUAGGCAAUGUGCUGAUUUUAGUUAUUGGACCUGCUGUGUUAGCAUGGGAAGUUACUGGGGGGUUGUGGAAAAUUACAGCCGAUGGGUGUAAGAACAAAGCACAGGAGCUGGUGGUUUGGCAACAGUAUCUUGUUAUAGUCGCGCGAAGCUUUCCUAACACGAAAGGCAUGUAGUUACAAGGACCUAAGAUAAGAUAUGCAUGCUUUCUUACUAACCUAUCAUGAGCUCAGCCUUUGUAAUAUGUAUGAGCUAAUUAGUUGGUAUACCAAUCAGUAUAAUCCACGAUAGUAGUUGUAAUGUAUGUAACAGUAUAAAAAGAUUGUGUAGAGAACAAUAAAGUGGACACUUUGCUUGCA